rnacentral:rRNA from 1 species
AGAGUUUGAUCCUGGCUCAGGGCGAACGCUGGCAGUGUGCCUAAUGCAUGCAAGUCGAGCGGUCCCGCAAGGGAUAGCGGCGAACGGCUGAGCAAUAUACAGGGAACCUGCCNUACGGUGGGGGAUAAUCCGUCGAAAGGCGGACUAAUACCGCGUACGCUUCCGGGUCAUAAGGCCCGGAAGGAAAGCCGCAAGGCGCCGAAGGAUGGUCUUGUAUCCCAUCAGGUAGUUGGUGAGGUAACGGCCCACCAAGCCUGCGACGGGUAGCUGGUCUGAGAGGACGGCCAGCCAGAGGGGGACUGAGACACGGCCCCCACUCCUACGGGAGGCAGCAGCAAGGAAUCUUGGGCAAUGGGCGAAAGCCUGACCCAGCGACACUGCGUGGAGGACGAAGGCCUUCGGGUCGUAAACUCCUUUUAUUGGGGAAGAGCAAGGACGGUACCCAGUGAAUAAGUCCCGGCCAACUACGUGCCAGCAGCCGCGGUAAGACGUAGGGGACGAGCGUUGCCCGGAAUUACUGGGCGUAAAGGGCGUGUAGGCGGCGGAGCGUGUCCCGUGUGAAAUGGAGGGGCUUAACCCUUCCACGCCGCGGGAAACUGUUUCGCUAGAGGGCAGUAGAGGUGGGUGGAAUUCCCGGAGAAGCGGUGACAUGCGUAGAGAUCGGGAGGAACACCAGUGGCGAAAGCGGCCCACUAGGCUGACCCUGACGCUGAGGCGCGAAAGCGUGGGGAGCAAACCGAAUUAGAUACUCGGGUAGUCCACGCCCUAAACGAUGGAUGCUAGGUAUGGGAGGCAUCGACCCCUUCCGUGCCGAAGCUUACGCGAUAAGCAUCCCGCCUGGGGAGUACGGCCGCAAGGCUAAAACUCAAAUGAAUUGACGGGG